ensembl:snoRNA LOC120096813 small nucleolar RNA SNORA17
CCUGCCCCUAGCGUCUUGCAGGUGUGGCUGCUGGGUCACGCAUGCUCCAGUGGGUGGCAGAGAGGAGAGAGGCUAUGUCUACGCCCAAUGUUCUGACCUGUGGCAUCUGAGUGAUUAAGUGGCCUAGCGCU